rnacentral:tRNA from 1 species
GCCGGAGUGGUGAAAUUGGUAGACACGCCACCUUGAGGGGGUGGUGGAGAGAUCCGUGCUGGUUCGAGUCCAGUCUCCGGUACCA